rnacentral:lncRNA from 1 species
AAGUCCUUGUGGUGAUUAUCACGAGGACUCUGUGAUUUCCCUUGUGAGAACCCCAUGGGCAGGCUGGGAACACUUCGCUGUGAUUGUCGCCAGCUCCUCCCAGAAGGACUCAGGUCACUCCUCCCAGGCCUGCACCAGCCCAGACAGGUCAAAGAGCAGGAUUCCAAGCCAUUGAAAUGGUCUCUGGAGAAGCCUGGAAUUUCCCUGUGACACAAGUGUGGUAGAAGGUAGCAGGGUUGGUCUUCUGGCAGCCAGGACCAGGGGUUGCCAGCACCCUAGGAUCCCUUGCCACUUGCCAAGUGAGGGGCAGGCAGCCGUUCAGAUCUCAGGGGCUGGAGAGCAAAGCGGAAGGGAGGGCACAUACCUCACCCUCAUCCUCAGCCCUUCUCUGUCCUCCCAGAUGCUUCUAAGUGUGAGAUGUGAAGGAUGUGAAACGCUUGAAACGCAGGCCAUGCCAGGUGUGGAUGCUAACAGCGCUCCCCAGUACACACCCCGGACGCUGAGCUUCACCUUGGAGUCCACUUCCAAGCGAGCCUCCCCUCCAAGCCACAGCCUCAGAGGGCUCGCUAUGAGGUUGAGCCUCUCGUCUUCAGCAGUACCAUCUUCCUCACCCUCCCCACUGCGCAUCACUCACACUGCAUGCAGAGCUGGGCGUUAAGAACUCUGCAUGCAUCCUCCUGUUUCAUUCUCAGACCCACCCAGGAUCUCCGUCUCCCAGGUGAGGCUCAGAGUGGUUCCGCUGGAGGGUCAGGGCCCGUCUGAUGCCAAUAUUUUUCUAUCUACCAAGCUUCCCUUUUCUCACCCUCCCAUC